rnacentral:rRNA from 1 species
UACAGAGGUGGCAAGCGUUGUUCGGAAUUACUGGGCGUAAAGGGCGCGUAGGCGGUCUUCUAAGUCUUGUGUGAAAUCCCUCGGCUCAACUGAGGAACUGCACGGGAUACUGGAAGACUUGAGUUCGGGAGAGGGAAGCGGAAUUCCGGGUGUAGCGGUGAAAUGCGUAGAUAUCAGGAGGAACACCAAUUGCGAAGGCAGCUCGCUGGGACGUUACUGACGCUGAGGCGCGAAAGCGUGGGGAGCAAACAGG